UAGCAUUUUAUUCAUCAAAUCUUUGAUCUGUCUGUAGACAAAUAUAUCCAUUUAUUGUCCAGCAAUUUACUUUCCCUGUUUUGACCGACUUUAUUGCAACAUGUCUCAAUCUGCAAAGGGCCUUAUAACAUGCAGAACAUUCAUGACUAACUAGAUUCAAAACAUACUACCUCCAGUCGAGUACUUCUUGGUUUCUCUCAUGCUCCAUUACUCAAGCACCAACAACAUGUUUCUUUCUACGCCCUCCUGCAGGGCUCUUGCUCCAGAGGGCUUGACCAUCUAUAGCAGUGAGGAGUUGAUCAUCAAGGCGUUUCCAUGUUUUGAUUGGAUUUAACAGGUCCCCAAUCUCCCUUCUCUGACUUCUCCAAAGAUGCUACCACCACCCUGGCCCUCCUUGACCAUCCAGCCUUCCCAUAGGCAUGGUAUCCAAAGCCCCCAGCAUAACAAAGUUGUAUACCAGUUAGCUCACCACAGAAGUCAUUCAGAUGAUCAUGUCCUGUGAAAACAGCCUUCACAUCCCCUGCCUCCACCAUGGUCGUGAAGAAACCGGAAUUCACAGACGCAGAGCUAAUGCCUUCCUGUUUCACCCCUGUGAAGUUGGACGAAUCAAAACUUGCAAAUUCAGGCAAUGGGAUGUGAAAGUACACAAGCCCAGGUGCAGGUCCUCUCUGAGGCUCCGGGUUGCUCAUGUAUGCUCUCCGGAGGUUUGAAGAAGUGCGUUGGAACCAAAACUGCUGAGAAGGUUUGAUCCAACCAUAGCCAGUAAUUGAUGGAACGGUGGAGUAAUCUCCACUGUCAAGGAAGUAGAGAUUGAGAACUGAUUUGUUUUGAAAUCUGG
rnacentral:misc_RNA from 1 species